GGGGGGGGGGGGGGGGGGGGGGGGGGGGGGGGGGGGGGGGGGGGGGGGGGGGGGGGGGGGGGGGGGGGGGGGGGGGGGGGGGGGGGGGGGGGGGCGGCUGGUGUCGCCGACCGGGUGUGACGUCACCAGUGACCCUCUCUGACCAGGCGUGACAUCAGCAGUGACCCUGGGAAUCAGGUGUGGCGUCACUGACCAGGUGUGACAUCACUGACCGAGCGUGUGAGAUCAUCACCGCCAUCACUGGCCGCGUGUGACGUCAUCGACCAGGUGUGACAUCAGCAGUGACAUCACCAUCCAGGUGUGACAUCCCCGGUGCCGCCGCACUCCAGAGGUGCCGGCUCUGGCGGGCGGCGGUGACGGUGACGGUGACGGUGACGGUGACGGUGACGGUGACGGGGACACGCGGCUGUUCCCGAGGGCCAUCGAGGGGGACGGGGUCGGCUUCGAGUUCGCCAUGUUCCUGCACGUCCCCACGGGCCGCCUGCGCUGCCUGUGCCAGCCCGGGCCCUUCCUGGAGGGACACCCGGGGUGAGUGCCACCCAGUGCCACCCAGUGCCACCUCCUGUUAUCCUACUGUCAUCUCCUGUCACCUACUGUCACCUACUGUCACCUAUUGUCACCUACUGUGCCAGCCUGGGCCCUUCCUGGAGGGACACCCGGGGUGAGUGACACCCAGUGCCACCCAGUGCCACCUCCUGUUAUCCUACUGUCACCUCCUGUCACCUCCUGUCACCUACUGUCACCUAUUGUCACCUCCUGUGCCAGCCCGGGCCCUUCCUGGAGGGACACCUGGGGUGAGUGACACCCAGUGCCACCCAGUGCCACCUCCUGUCACCUCCUGUCACCUGCUGUCACCUGCUGUCACCCCCAUGUUCUUAAUGUCCUCAA
rnacentral:lncRNA from 12 species